AGAGUUUGAUCAUGGCUCAGGAUGAACGCUAGCGGCAGGCUUAAUACAUGCAAGUCGUGGGGCAGCAUGACUGUAGCAAUACAGUUGAUGGCGACCGGCAAACGGGUGCGGAACACGUACACAACCUUCCUUUUAGUGGGGAAUAGCCCGGGGAAACCCGGAUUAAUACCCCGUAACAUAAUGAAGUGGCAUCACUUUAUUAUUAUAGCAGCAAUGCGCUUUAAGAUGGGUGUGCGACUGAUUAGGCAGUUGGCGGGGUAACGGCCCACCAAACCUACGAUCAGUAACUGGUGUGAGAGCACGACCAGUCACACGGGCACUGAGACACGGGCCCGACUCCUACGGGAGGCAGCAGUAAGGAAUAUUGGUCAAUGGACGCAAGUCUGAACCAGCCAUGCCGCGUGGAGGAUGAAGGUCCUCUGGAUUGUAAACUUCUUUUAUCUGGGAAGAAAUCCACGAAUUCUUUUGUGGUUGACGGUACCAGAUGAAUAAGCACCGGCUAACUCCGUGCCAGCAGCCGCGGUAAUACGGAGGGUGCAAGCGUUAUCCGGAUUCACUGGGUUUAAAGGGUGCGUAGGUGGGCAGGUAAGUCAGUGGUGAAAUCUCCGGGCUUAACUCGGAAACUGCCAUUGAUACUAUCUGUCUUGAAUACCGUGGAGGUCAGCGGAAUAUGUCAUGUAGCGGUGAAAUGCUUAGAUAUGACAUAGAACACCAAUUGCGAAGGCAGCUGGCUACACGAAUAUUGACACUGAUGCACGAAGGCGUGGGGAUCAAACAGGAUUAGAUACCCUAGUAGUCC
rnacentral:rRNA from 1 species